UUAGUCGGUCUCGGAGCAAAGGAAGUGAAGCAUGUUAUUUAAUACGAGAAUACGCGUAAAACCUUACCAGACCUUGCAUAUCUAUACGACCUUUAGCUGCACCAUUAAAUAGUUCUUACUUUAAAAUUUAAAAUUUAUUUUUAAUUAACCAAAGUUAAAGUUGCCCUUAAACUUUUUAUUGUCUUGAAAAAGAUCAAGGACAAAUAAAAAUGAUAAGGCAACUUUGACUUUGGUUAAUUAGUUUAUAAAUUUUAUAUUUUAAAGUAAUAAUAUUUAAUCGGUCGAGCUAAAGCUCUAUAUAUGCAAGUCUGGUAAAGUUUCACUUUUCUAUUAAAACAGGUGUUGCAUGGCUGUCGUCA
rnacentral:rRNA from 1 species